UACGGAAGGCAGCAGUGGGGAAUAUUGCACAAUGGGCGAAAGCCUGAUGCAGCUAUGCCGCGUGUAUGAAGAAGGCCUUAGGGUUGUAAAGUACUUUUCAUCGGGGAGGAAAAACAAAACUAAUAAUUUUAUUUCUUGACGUUACCCGAAAAAGAAGCACCGGCUAACUCCGUGCCAGCAGCCGCGGUAAUACGGAGGGUGCUAGCGUUAAUCAGAAUUACUGGGCGUAAAGAGCACGUAGGUGGUUUUUUUAAGUCAGAUGUGAAAUCCCUGGGCUUAACCUGGAACUGCAUUUUGAAACUGAAAUACUAGAGUAUCGUAGAGGGAGGUAGAAUUCUAGGUGUAGCGGUGAAAUGCGUAAAUAUCUGGAGGAAUACCUGUGGCGAAAGCGGCCUCCUAAACGAAUACUGACACUGAGGGUGCGAAAGCGUGGGGAGCAAACAGGGAUUAGAUACC
rnacentral:rRNA from 1 species